UGGUAGUAUAACAACUGAUUCUAAAGUCAGAAGAAUCUGUAGGUUUAAAAACUCUUUCAUAUAUUUUCCAGCUGUAAUUGCUUCUCCAAAUUCCGAAGCAAGGUAAACAAGUUUGGUUGACAGGAACAAAAGAACAUAAAGUAGAAUUGGAACAACAUCCAGGAUGUCCCAAUACUGUCUGGCUCCGCCCACUCCCUCAAACAGCUUGGUGUGUAGAAAGAACUUUCUUUGAUGCAACCUGGAGUUAUGUGAUAUGAUACAACUCAUAAAAUCCCUGUUCAUCAACAGCUCUUCAGAACUGAGCUACCAGCAGCCACACUAAUUGAGAGACUUUUGGAAUGUGGGUUGGUGAAGGAGGUGAAGCCAGAACAGGAAUGGUGAGUCUGUGUGUAGACAGCCGCCCACACUCUCAAGCCUCACCCACCCUGGGCCGCCUGCAUAGAUGUCAUGAGGACAAAGGCUCACCUACGAUCGAAAGCAAUUACAUCAGUUUCUGUGAAUUGUCUCUUUAAAAGUUCUCUCUGGAUUUAAAAUUCAAAACAAUUCUCAAUAAUUUCAUUAUAAAUUUGGGACAUAUAAUCUCACAUUGUUCCAAUAUAUUCAGUGACUGAAGUUCUGAUGGGACUAAAACCCUGUCACACCUUGACACUGGCUAUGGAAAGUAUUUCUUAACCUAUCAAGAAUACCAGCGAUCUGUUUUCACUCUACCCCAAAGCACUUAAAUCACGUUAGAACUCUAAAAUGUAAUAAGAACCACAUCAAUAUCUUGUAAUCUCUAAAUGUCAGAUUAAAAUAUGAGUGGAGAAUGGUGUAGUAAGUCAAUGGAAGCUUUUAGAGAACUGAUAUUUCCCCCUAGGUCCGUAUACAUGUUAGAGAU